rnacentral:lncRNA from 10 species
CUCAACAUGUACAUUGUUGAGCUCAGUAUUUCCCAGCUUUAAAUCUGCACUUCCCAUUUUAUUAAGAAUCCAGGUAAAUGGCAAGAUCAUCUACACCUAUAAGCAAGGUGUUCAUAUUCUCUCCUUCUGCUGUCUCCAAAUCUUACCAUAAGAGAGAGAAAAAGAAAAUAAACCUCCUCCACUUCAUGUCAGUUUUCCCAAGUUUCCAGUUUUCCUCUGUGGCCCCAUGGUUGACAUUCUCAUAGAAGAUGAUUUUUUAUUCAUUUUUUUUAUUACCCAAGCUUUAAAUCUCUGCUAGUCACAAGACUACUUGCAGAAGGAAACUUACUGCAAAGGUAAAGAGAUUGCAAAUGUUCUUACAUUUUGAGCCUGUUCCUUAUUCUUCUUCCUGAUAACAGAUAAACU